rnacentral:miRNA from 1 species
AACUCUAGCCUGAGCAACAG